CAUGAAGAAAGAAGAAGGCUGCAAUCAAGGGUUGAUCGAGGUUUUGCUAGAGAUCUGAUUGAAGGUUGAUCCAAAAGAUUGUUGAUCCAUCUUGAAGAAGGCAGAUCGAAGUCGGAGAAAGCAUCCUAGUCCGAGCCUGAGUGGAUAUCUAUGGAGGCCAGACAUGUGUGCGAUUCGACAGUGAAUCUCAACUCUACGAUCAUCGGAUAGUGGUGUACUACCCGCACAAAAGUGAUGAUGCGAUCAUCAUUAUAAUCAGAUU
rnacentral:lncRNA from 1 species